AAUGGACAUGACAAAGGGUCAUGAUCUCACGAGGGCGAGCUAACUCCAAAACCCCGUCCUCGGUAUGGAUUGCAGGCUGCAACUCGCCUGCAUGAAG
rnacentral:ncRNA from 1 species